AACGAACGCUGGCGGCAUGCCUAACACAUGCCAGUCGAACGAGACCUUCGGGUCUAGUGGCGCACGGGUACGUAACGCGUGGGAAUCUGCCCUUGGGUUCGGAAUAACAGUUGGAAACGACUGCUAAUACCGGAUGAUGACGUAAGUCCAAAGAUUUAUCGCCCAGGGAUGAGCCCGCGUAGGAUUAGCUAGUUGGUGGGGUAAAGGCCUACCAAGGCGACGAUCCUUAGCUGGUCUGAGAGGAUGAUCAGCCACACUGGGACUGAGACACGGCCCAGACUCCUACGGGAGGCAGCAGUGGGGAAUAUUGGACAAUGGGCGAAAGCCUGAUCCAGCAAUGCCGCGUGAGUGAUGAAGGCCUUAGGGUUGUAAAGCUCUUUUACCCGGGAUGAUAAUGACAGUACCGGGAGAAUAAGCCCCGGCUAACUCCGUG
rnacentral:rRNA from 1 species